GUGGGGAAUAUUGCACAAUGGGCGAAAGCCUGAUGCAGCAACGCCGCGUGAGGGACGACGGCCUUCGGGUUGUAAACCUCUUUUAGUAGGGAAGAAGCGAAAGUGACGGUACCUGCAGAAAAAGCACCGGCUAACUACGUGCCAGCAGCCGCGGUAAUACGUAGGGUGCAAGCGUUAUCCGGAAUUAUUGGGCGUAAAGAGCUCGUAGGCGGUCUGUCGCGUCUGCUGUGAAAACUGGAGGCUCAACCUCCAGCCUGCAGUGGGUACGGGCAGACUAGAGUGCGGUAGGGUAGAUUGGAAUUCCUGGUGUAGCGGUGGAAUGCGCAGAUAUCAGGAGGAACACCGAUGGCGAAGGCAGAUCUCUGGGCCGUAACUGACGCUGAGGAGCGAAAGCGUGGGGAGCGAACAGGAUUAGAAACCCGUGUAGUCC
rnacentral:rRNA from 1 species